CCCCACCUCAGGACAUAAGGUGAGCAGAAAACCCCUUCUUCUUCCUCCCCUUUCACUUCCCUUGCUUGUUCUUUCUUUUCCUCCUCAAGCUGAGCUCCCAACUCACUUCUCCUCCCCCAAAUCCCAUCAAAGAACCCAAACUCAAGCUCUGCAUAUUAGACCAUAACAAUCCCCAUCAUCUAAGCUUUUCAUCCAUCCCAACAUCUUGCACAUGCAUGGAGAGUUGAGAGAGAUCGAGAAGGAAGAAGAGAGUGGUGGUUUCAACCUGCAGGGCUGCAGCAGCAGCAUUUUGUUUUCCUCCAUUUGGUUGUCCACUCCAUUGCUGCAGCUAGAAGGUGGCUGUAACUCACCCCGAGUUCAUCUCUUUUGAUUUCGGUUGAAGAAGCCCUAGGCAGCGUCUCUUGCCGUCAGCCCAAGACCUUGCUCCAUCUCUUGCCAUCAGCCCGAGACCUUAGCCUCGCACGACCCUAUGUCCAGGUUGCUGCGAUGUGAGCGAAGUCCAGUGGAAGUUGGAGAAAAGGGGAGUGAAAAUAGAAAUCGAUUUCUGAGAUAGCUUUUGAGCUGAAAGAGAUUCGGAGUUUCCGGAGAGUAACGAGCCAUAUCCCGAGGAGGAUAGUGGCUACCCUCAGCAACAAG